UUCGAUGUCCAAUGCUAAUUGUGAGGUGCCACAGGGAGGAUGCUUACAAGAUUCGUCACAUCCCCACAGUCGAAUUCUGGUGACCAAGGAGUUAAAAACCGUGAAGCAAGCAAUGCUUACAAAAUUGUUGAAUUCUAAUUGAUUCGUCACCUGUCCCAUCUUUGCUCCCGGUGGACACAUACAUCUGCAUACCAACAAGUGUUGGUGGCUGUCCGGCAGAGGAGGUAAGCGGCCUGGAGCCUUCUUUUUCAAGUGUUGUAAGCAUAUUGUGCCCAAAUGGAUUAUACCAUGCAUUACCACUUUUUUCAGAUUGUUUUCUUAUGCAUGCAGUCUUACUUGUAGCAAAUCUUGUCAAACUUUUAGAAAUCAAACAAGUAACUAUGAAUUACCGAGUACAACUUCCCAUUGGUUCUCUUCUUUGUUCCUACUACUUGAAGUAUAUUUGCUACUGUCGCCAAAUGGAUUAUACCAUGCAUUAGCUCUUUUUCUUUCUUUCUAUACAGUUUUCAAGGGCAGAAACAUAUACAGUUGUAGCUAGUCUUGUCAACUUUUAGAAACUGAACUUUCAUCCAAGAACUAAUUAAAGGGACUUGCCUUUCAUGGUUGGCUGCACAACAUGUUCGGAAUGCAAUUUCUUAUUGGUUCUCUUCUCUGUUUCUACUGCGUAGAUAACUUAAAAAAUAUCUACUCAAGGAGACAAUUUUAAUUGUGCCAUAACAUCCAGUUGGCAUCCACAUGACUGUUAUUGGUCAAUCAUGUGUGCAGGGCUUACAUUGCUGUUGCGGACUUGCCGAAUCUCACAGAAGAUCAAUUUCAGAAUGCAAAAGAUGAGGCAGAGCUCAAGGAAGCGGCCGAUUCCAGGUAGCAGUUUCCUUCGGACCAAAUCUCACUGGGAUUCUCAAGGAGCAUGUUUUUGAUGGAGGAAGAGAUCUCAAGUAGCUGACUAACUAAUGUUGUUCUGCUCUAGUAGUAUCUGUCUGUUGUGAUUCAGAAAGGAUUAAAAGGUCAUGGUUCUUGUGCUCAAACCUCGUAAGAUUGUUAAUUUCAACUCAACCACUUUUUGGCAAAUGCCCCAUUCGUUCAUGUAUUUAAUUUACCCAUUGUGUUACUGUUUUUAAUUUGUAUAAAUUUUAAAGUGGCUAUUAAUUGUCUUCCAGAUAGUGCACAUCUUGGGCCUGCCUGUGGACAAUACUAGGUACCAGGCGUGCUGCUUCAGGUACCAUGCUGAAUUGGGCGCCCAGGGAAUGGAAUGGAAGGCAACAACUCAUUUUGCCAAGCGCCCGAAUCAACAUCCAUGCACGUACGUAGAGGAUAUAUACUUUUACUUAUUUAUCUAGUUUUGUAAAAGUCAUUUGUAAGUUUCAUGAGAUGCUUACU
rnacentral:lncRNA from 1 species